rnacentral:rRNA from 1 species
UCUGACCUCGGAUCAGGUAGGGAUACCCGCUGAACUUAAGCAUAUCAAUAAGCGGAGGA